AAAGGAAUUGACGGGGGUCCGCACAAGCGGAGGAGCAUGUGGUUUAAUUCGAUGAUACGCGAGGAACCUUACCUGGGCUUGAACGUGUGAUGCAAUACUGGGAAACUGGUAGUCCCUUCGGGGCGUCAUGCGAGGUGCUGCAUGGUUGUCGUCAGCUCGUGCCGUGAGGUGUUAGGUUAAGUCCUGUAACGAGCGCAACCCCUAUACUUAGUUACCAGCACGUAGCGGUGGGGACUCUAAGUAAACUGCCUGCGCAAGCAGAGAGGAAGGUGGGGAUGACGUCAAAUCAGCACGGCCCUUACGUCCAGGGCCACACACGUGCUACAAUGGCCGAUACAGAGGGCAGCUACCUGGUGACAGGAUGCGAAUCUCGAAAGUCGGUCUCAGUUCGGAUCGGAGUCUGCAACUCGACUCCGUGAAGUUGGAUUCGCUAGUAAUCGCGCAUCAGCCAUGGCGCGGUGAAUACGUUCCCGGGCCUUGCACACACCGCCCGU
rnacentral:rRNA from 1 species